rnacentral:rRNA from 1 species
GAUGAACGCUGGCGGCGUGCCUAAUACAUGCAAGUCGAGCGAACAGACGAGGAGCUUGCUCCUCUGACGUUAGCGGCGGACGGGUGAGUAACACGUGGAUAACCUACCUAUAAGACUGGGAUAACUUCGGGAAACCGGAGCUAAUACCGGAUAAUAUAUUGAACCGCAUGGUUCAAUAGUGAAAGACGGUUUUGCUGUCGCUUAUAGAUGGAUCCGCGCCGCAUUAGCUAGUUGGUAAGGUAACGGCUUACCAAGGCAACGAUGCGUAGCCGACCUGAGAGGGUGAUCGGCCACACUGGAACUGAGACACGGUCCAGACUCCUACGGGAGGCAGCAGUAGGGAAUCUUCCGCAAUGGGCGAAAGCUUGACGGAGCAACGCCGCGUGAGUGAUGAAGGUCUUCGGAUCGUAAAACUCUGUUAUUAGGGAAGAACAAAUGUGUAGGUAACUAUGCACGUCUUGACGGUACCUAAUCAGAAAGCCACGGCUAACUACGUG